ACUCCGUCUCGGUGCACAACCGACCAAAUUCACCCAAAGGAAAACAAACCCAGAGAAGUGAGGCGUAGUAGUGCUCGUCCUUUUCACUUCUAUUUCCUUAUUUACUCGAUAUCGGGAAGGCAGGAGGACAGAAAAGAAGUUAUGAGGUGAUAUGUUGUAGGAACAGCAGGCAAAAUGCUUUACGUAUUUCUUGUGGACACAGGGACCAUGAUGACCUUUGACAUGAACCUGGCACUGGAAAAUGUGUCGGUUCUGAAGGAGGUCAUUCACCGGUCCAUGAGGGUACCCCCGGAGAAGCAAGUCCUGCUCAUCUCAGGGGGUGAGGCUCUCGACCCUAGCCUCCGUGUGUGUCAGUACUCGGCUGGAACGGACACCAACCCUAUUUUCCUCUUCUCGAAAUCCACGAUAGAAGGGCAAAAUCCUCCUUCCCCGAGCAUUGACUAUGGCUCUGACACUGAUCUACAGGACCAGGUUGAAGGUGCCCUCAACAUGCCAGCCAGCUACAACACAGUGGUGGCACGAGCCCAGCUUGCACAGCAGUUUCAUGAACACUCAAGAGAUCAAACAAGAAUAUGCCAGCAACUGGUUCACGAUCAGCACUUGCAGCAGCAGGGUUGGGCUGCAGUAGUGGCAAAUCUUGAAGACAUUGUUGCGGCAUUUAAGACCCGCUUUGAAAGCUUUGAGCAGAGCUUCAACGAUUACCUGAAAGGUCGUGAGGAGAAGUUCACUAUCCUUGAAAAUUUUGACGAAGACCUCAAGUUGCUGUCCAGAAUACCAGUCCUUCCAGCCCUUCUAGGACACACAAAGAAGGCCGCCGAGGAAGGGAAGCUGGCCGAGGACACGGCGAACGAAGAAGGGAAAGCAGACAAAGAAAAGGAUGAUGAAGACAGCUUUGAAACUCAAGUCGGCAUGAGUCUCCUAGAAUGGAUUAGCGCUAAAGACAGCCAGAAUGACGUAGAACAGAUAGCACAACUUUGCUUCAGAGGCCUUACUCAGAUAAAUGAUGGAAUGCUGACACAACUGGCAGGAGAGGUGAAUUCUGUGGUCCGCGAGGCCGACCGUCCUGAGAUGAAGGAGAUAAAAGGACUUGGGGAACGGCUCUUCGGCCUGGAGCAACUCAUGCAUGAAGCCAACAAGAUCGUCCAGGAACAGAACAACUUUGCUCAGGCACUUUUGCAAAACCAAAACAGAGCUGGAAAAGUAAAUGAUCCCUCCAUCUUCCCUGACCUCUGUACCUCACACCGAAGAAACCUCAUGCACAUGCUCAAGAACCAUCAACGGGUACAAGACAUCAAGAGGAGAUGCAUAAAGGCCAAAGAAGAACUCUCAGAAAAUUUGCACGUCAGACUGAAGUGGAUCAUGUACAUAGAGAAGAAAUUGUAUGAACUGGACAACAAACUGAGCAUGCACCGUGAGAAUGUAAGGCGGCUGACUGGCCUCCUGCAGGUGGUUGAGCAGAUCCAUCGUGCUCCACGGGUGUAUGUUGGCGCCAUCACAGAGGUUGCGCGCAGGCAUGCCUUCUCGCAGGCUUUUGUGCAGUGGGCAACAGCGCUGAGUGUUGAAAGUAGCGAGGUAUGGCAACGUGAGGUAACUACUAGGAGACAGUUCUUGCAACAAUUCUCGUCGCACUUCCUCACUAGCCUCUUCCCUGGUUUGGAUGACCUUCCUCCUGACUUUGCAACUCAGCCUCCAGACAAAUUUGAUGACACACUGCCAAAGUUAACGGGAGAAGACAUAGAACAGCUGAGAUCAGUGCUACCUGAGUUGGCCUCUCUCCUGUUUGUGGGAGAAGUGGUGGCAGUGCCACCCUUACUACAAACAGCUCUAAGUGGCACACAUACACAAACUCCAAGGAGUAGUGGUACCUUUGUCAAAGAAGGCAGUGGUGAUGUUUAUGCCUCUGCUGUCACCACAGCAAACUCUGCAACCCCACGCAACACACCAGAUCGGGAUGCAACUUCAAGAGCGCAACCUGUGCGCCCAUCGUCUCUUUCAAGAGAGCACCAAGAGUCAGAGACAGACACCGAGGAGUUCGAGAAGGUUGGCUGUAGCGCCGGCAGUGAUGGCACUUUUUCUCCUAUGGAGGUUAUGCCAGAGGGUCGAGGAUCUGUGAAAACAAAGCACCACUUCCCAACACAGACAAAUGACUCCAAACACAUCAAGCUAGAUGGAGGCUCUGCACAGCUGCCUGGAGCUGUGCAGGAAGAACUAAGGCAGGGGAGCGUAGCUGCAGUGCCCCCCAGAGACACCCCGCAGAGCCCCGAGUCUGUGGUGACCUCCCAGGAGUUUGUCACGGCUGAAUUCUACAUUGAUGAGUCGAUGCCCUCCAGCUAUACGGAGAGCAACGGCACGACGGGGACCACGGCCUCCAGCACCUGGCACCCGCCGCUGGUGAAGACCCACCACGUCAUCACCGCAGAGUUGCAGAAACAGCUAGAGGACAAAGACACUGCCAUUUUCUCGCUACAGAGUGACCUGAAUGAGGCAAAGGACGAAGUGGAUAGAUUGCAACAACGACUCAAUGCCUUGGCUUCCCUGGACUGUAAAGAUGCAGUUGUCAGUCUCAAAAGGGAGUUGGCUUCUCUCAGGGGAAAGGUUCGUGAUGAAGGAGCAACUUACGUCAAUUACAUCUCAGAGUUGUCCUCCCGUCUCCUGGAUGUAUUGUUACAGUGCAAGCUCAGUCCUCACUGCCCUCUGGAAAUGAAAACGAUACAAGUGCAGACGUCAGCGGAGCAAAAUGCAGCAGUUAACGAGGCUGUCACGUUAGCCAGGGCAGAUAAGGACAAAUUGCAGGAGCAGUUGCAAGGAACACUGGACUUGCAGGCCCACAAACUCUCAGAUGCCCAGCGUGAAAUUGAAAUGUAUCAAGAACAGUUACACCGGCACCAGGAAAACCUACAGCAAACAACUGCCGAGUUUGAGGAAGUGAAAAGAGCUCUGAUAGAGGAGAAGAACGAGGCAGUGAAGCAGCUGAGCUUGGAGCAUGAGUUGGAGAUGGUGGCCAUGAAGGAGCGAUGGCAAGAAGAGGACUCGUCGCGGCAGGAGGAACUCACGUCCUUGACUCAGAAACUGAAGAGCCUCGAGGACGUCCUCCAGCGAGCAGAGAGUGACCGGAAUGAGCUGGAGAAGAACUUUCAGGAGCGGUUUGAGGCUCACUUCCAGGAGGAGAAAGACAAGAUUGUGCAGAUUCUGGAGGUCAGCUUCAGUGAACGGGAGAAGAAAGCACUUGAGAGCCUGAAGGAACAGCUAACCCGUGAACACCAGGAGGAAGUGAGCAGACUAUUAAGCGAAAAAGAAGAGGCUCUGAGGCGUGCAUGUGAAGAGGUCCGUGUGAAGCUGGUAGCAGAGUGGAGAGAGGUAGUGGACAAGCAGCACAAAGACCUCAGUGAGAAGCAUGCUGCCGACCUUGCGAAAUGCAAAGAGCAGUGGGACCAGGAGAAACAGGCAGAGAUAGCAGCCAAAGUUGCUGAAAUAGAGACCCGAUGGCGAGAAGAACGGGACUUGGAAAUUGAGCGAGUGAGACAACAAUACAAAAUGGAGCUUGAAGGCCUACGGUCUCGCUUCAGGAUGAUGACCACUGCCAGCAUGGACAAAUCGCCUUCAGAAACAUCAUUGGAGAAGUUUGAGCGUGGUGAGUUCAUGGACUUGGCAGCUCAUGAAAUAGCUCUUGCCAAGCUGAGGGAGGAACUUCUGCGAGAGAAGGAGGCAGAGCUGGAAGCUGUCAAGCUUGCUCUCCAAGAACAAUUUGCUCAAGCACAAAAGGAGGAAUUGCAGAAACAUGAAGAAAUGAGGAAAGAGGAGAGAAGAAGGAUAGAAGCAGAAAAACAGGUUGUGUUCAAUGAUGCCAUAAAGUCAGUCACACAGGAUAAAGAGAGAGUCAUCGAAGACCUUAGACUGAGGGUGGAGCUCUUGACAGACGAAACAGAGAAAUUGCGCAGGCUGAUGCACAACGCUGCCACUGAAUCAAGUGACCAGAUAAUGACUGUUCUAGCCACAGAGAACCAGUCACUCAAGGAACGUUGUGAGACCUUGCAAAAGGACAUUGUGCGUCUUGAAAAUGAGUUGCUCCGUGCCAAGAGAUUCAGCUUCGUGACGGAACGGCAGCACGAUCUCAGCAUGUCCUUCACAGACGCAGGACCAACAGGAGCAACAGGUCCUAUUACAAGCAGUGAGGACGUCAAAAAGCUUCAGCAGGAGAAUCAGGAACUUAGAGAUAAACUGGAGCAGAGCCGGAGCGCGACCUCGCUGGUGGAGCGCGGCAAGAUCAGCAUCCACUCGUGCCAGCCGAGCGAGGCCGUGCUGCUGGUGUGGGACGACAUCCACCUCCACUACAGGGUCCUCCUCGAGGGCAACCCGCACUUGCACUUCCUCCACACCGACGCCUACAUCCCGCUGGGCCUCUCGAAGGAGCCGCCACACAAGAUGUAUUGCACGGCCGAGGUGGUCAGCAAGGAGUUCUGCCAAGCCAAGAAGGACGAGAACCGGUUCCGCGUUCCGAAGGGCACCAAGUUCUACCGCGUGAUGGCCAAACCCUGGGACAGCGAGGAUGCCUCACGGAGAGAGGGGAAGAAGGAGUCUCAACAGGCGUCUCCGACCCAGUAGCGACAGCAUCCUGCUCCAGCAUCCCAUCUCCCUUCGGCGCCCGAGAAUGCCUUGGACGCUGAAGGACCUUCGCCACGCUGUCCCUGGCUUUGAAGAAUAGGACGCGACCGACCAAGACCCAUGACGGAGCUUCGACGGCGUCCCUCGCCGUCUUUCUUCUCUGAUUCUUUCCUUCCUUCCUUAUAUCCUUCCUUUCUCCCUUCAUUCCCUCUUUCCCUCCUUCCUUCCCUCCUCCCUAUUUCCCUCCUUCCCUCCUUUGUAGUGGCACCUGUGACCUUCUUUAUGACUCACUGACCUUAUUUGUAUCGUGACUCGUUUCAUGCCAUUGUACCAUUCUGUAAACAUCACCUUCCAUCACACUGUGACAUCUUUCGAGCAUCACUGUGUCAUCUUGUGUCAUUUUGUGUCAUCUUCAUCCUCGUAUUGGGACAGUCCUUUGUGACACUUGACAGACAGCCUUCGGAGCAGAGACAGUUUUCCUAACUUUACCGUAAUAUUAUUGAUGAUUUGAUUAAGAACCCUUGAGGUGUCAAUUUCCUAUUCCUAUGGUAGCUUUCCUAACAUUAUCUUCAGGACUUCUUCAUUCUCAUAACACUUCAACAUCAACCAUGAUAGAAACUGGUAGUCCUAUUAAUAAUAAUAUUAUUGUUCAUUCACACUUUAGGAGACACACGUACUAAUAUUUCCCAUUAACUUUUAAUUUAUGGUUCUUCAUUCAUCUAUUUACUCUUCAGUUUUUUUUUAUGUUCACUCAUCUUGUCUUCAGACUACUUCCUCCUCUCCCCCUCUCAUAUAUAUAUUAUGCAAUAAUAUGUAGAACAAGAAGCAAAGAUGGCAAUUUAAAAAAAAAGGGAGUGAUACAUGAUAAUUUUUGGAUUUUGAAGAGCGUCAAAUUAACAAUUAAUUAAAACAUGAGGACCUGUGUAUGAUGAAUUCAAUGCUUGUGUGUUUGUUUUGCAUUAAAUGACCUGCCAUUGUGACCCUCGCUCACAACGGCUCCUUGUCUUUGCUAUCUGGAUACAGCUUCUCAGACAAUUUCUUUGCGGCCGAUUGUUUCUGUUAUUUUUAUUUAUUUUUGUCUAGGUCAGCUUUAGCUCAUUUUCAGGCCUAAUAGAUGAUCAGAGAUGUGAAAAGUAUUUCAAGGAUGUAAUUCAUGUAUUUUUACAAGAAAUCCAGUUAGAAGCAUGUAACAUUUGUAAUGCAGCGAGAAGACUUUUUAAUAAAGGGUGUUUUUAAAAAGGAUAUGACUGUAGUUGCUCCUUGCAAUUUGACAAAGAUGAGUCUACCGAGUGUUGACAGAAUUUUCUUGACAGCAACAUAUGUUUGUUUUAUGAGGAUCAACCCUUGUAUGUGUUUUAUCACGCAAUAAAUCGUUUUGUACUGUUCAUUUGAGUAACUAAAAUACGACAGGUUGCUGUUUUGUUUGAAUUUUUUUAAUCUUAUGAGUCUCAAAGAAAUUGGGAUAGAUACAGUUGAUAGCAAAAUUAAGUCAAAAGGAAAAGACUACAGGCAAAAGUCAUUUAUAAUAAGCAAUCUUCUUAUGUCAUCUGUAACUUCAAUUUACAUAGUAGUUUUAUAUACAGAUAUAAAAAACAAAAUUUCCCAUAACACUUGUACUGCCUGCCUAAAUAUAACCUCUGUUAUAGUUGGUCUUUUGGUGAUUGUCUAUAGGGGGUCGAGUGUGGCAGUAAUGUACCUGUGUGUGUUUUUUUAUCAUUUAGAUUAAAUCAACUGGAACUCAGACCCAGAUUCCAUCUUGCUUGUAUGAUAAUGAGCAAAUAAUCCUUAUAUAGAUAUAACUUCAGGUAGAGCCUAGCCUUUGACUCCUUUUCUGAUAAUUAUAAAAUGAUAAAUUCAAGUUAAAAGAUAUUUCAAGGAACAUACCUGAAAAAAAGUUCAAGAUAUAUUUAUUUCUCAUCAAUUUGGAAUGUGUGUGAUUUUUUUGGGGUAUGGCAAAGGCUAUUCCUUGAUCAACAAAAUGUCUAGUCUCAUCUAAUGGCUAUGGUACUCGGUUGCAAAUCAAAUCAAUUUGUGUGAAAAAAAAAAUAUUUGAGAAAAACAUGCAUAUAUAUAAAUAUAUUUUACUGGGUAUCAAGAAUAGGGUUUUGGAUUCUAUACUGUGAUUUAUAUUAUGUAAAGUUUAGUUUCCAAUAUGUUGUACAAUAUUUUUGCACAAAUAUGCUUUUGGCAUAAUGGAGUUGAAUGGCGGUUUGGCAAAUAUAUAUAUCCAUAUUUGAAUUUUGUAAAAAAAGAUUGAACUAAAAAAAAAAUAAUUAUAACAAUAUAAACAGAAAGCAUUUAUUUUCUACUGUGCCACAUUCAACAUCUAAAAUUCUACUUUCCUCUCCUCAGCCUAGGUCGUUGAUUUCCUAUUAUGCAAUCAAACAUUACCGUGUUAGGGUACCUUCGAUUCUCUUACCCUUUAUGAAUGCAAUGGGACCUGUCUUGGCCAUGAACCAUAAGCAUAGUUGGCAACCUAUGCACCGAACCAGCCCCAACCCGAGCUAUCUGUGUCAGUGUGUAUUCACUUCCUCAGAUUUAAUGACACGAUGAAAUACUUUGAUUCAGACUCUAUCGAGCUGUCACUUCGAGCAGCAUCCUGUUUGUCAUUUAAGGGAAAGAAGACCUUUUUUUUUUUUAGUAUUGUUAGGAUAUUAUUGUAUUUGCUGUUUGAUGGUUGCUGGACUUGUAAGGAGCUUUUUACAUACUGAACUGGAUCGUAUAUAAGCUUAUGCGAAUGAUCUGUAAAUAGAAUAUUGGAUAUAUAUAGUAUACAUACAUAUAUAUACAUAUAUAUAUAUAUAUUUGUAACACAUUUCCACAGUAUGUGCUGAGAGCAUGUGUAUAGAUCUGUUUGAACAAUGUAGAGUGGAUGAGAUCUUUCGUUUAGUCACAUUUGUUUUGAAUAAAAAAAAAGUUAUUCCUGUGAGGCACUCCAUACAUUUUGUUAGGCUAAUCUCACCCUUAAUAACACCUCAUCUGCUGAGGAAGUACAAGACGCAACUAGAUCAUCGUCAGCUGAUAUUCUAGACAGUUUAGCUCGACACUCUUCCUAGUGAAAAUGUCCGGUAUAUUAUAGUAGGGAAGCGAACUUCGAAGUCUCUGCAGGGUUAUAAUGCAGAUCAUCAUAUUCCCGAGAUCGAAAACUAAUUGGCUUUGUUCCCUCUGCAUGAGACUGGCUUUUUAGAAAGGUAAUAACACUUACCAACUUGUCUGUCAGCUGUGCUCUGUAGGUGGUCGGACUCCCUGCGCAGCUGACAAGUGACAGUCGCAUUUAUCAUUGAGCUGAGUUAGCAUUUUUGUUUUCUUUUUUUUUCCAUCUUUUAACUAAGCGUGCAGAACAGACAGCCUGAAAUAGUGUGAAAUAGAUUCCCGGUGGUACAAAUUGUAAAAAAAAACAAAAAAAACAAUGUCUCUUCUUUUCUCCCAACCUAUUUCAACCUAGAUAUUGGUACAAGCACUUGAGUGUGGUUUACGUUUGCGAAGAGAGACGGAAGAAGCAUCUAUUUUGAUUCAAGUCGUGUCCGUUAUUUUCUAUAAUGUGUGGAUAAGAAAUAAAUCUUAGAGAGCUAUCGCAUACCGACACAUAGAAAGAGAGAUAGAGAGAGAGAGAGAGAGAGAGAGAGAGAGAGAGAGAGAGAGAGAGAGAGAGAGAGAGAGAGAGAGAGAGAGAGAGAGAGAGAGAGAUAUCAGGCUACAUUUAUCAUUCUAAAGAGAUGUUUAGAGUUUAUAAAAAGUUAGUCGGCGAUUUCUUCCAUAUUAUCAUUCUUAUUUUUUUUCUUUAUCAUUCUUGGUCUUUCAACUUAGCAUCGUAUGUUUCUUUCUUCUCUUUCUUAAGCAACACAUUUGGUGCAGGAGAAUGAUCUAGAUCGUUUGUUAAUUGUCUGUACUUUCGCAUGCACGGAUUAUCACGUUUUGUAAUUACAGGAUAUUGUUUGCCUUUUAAUGAUUGUAAUGAGUGAGGUGUGCAUUGUAUACAGUGUAUUAAACAAUCUUUUCAUUACGCUUUUCCAUGAGUACUGAGGUAAAAUAAAUGAUUAUGAAUAAA
rnacentral:misc_RNA from 1 species